GCUCAUUACAACAGUUGAAAUUCGCGUGAAAUCCUUCUCAAUGGAUACUUCUAGUAAUUCUGGAGCUAAUACAGUGCAGUGCUUCGGCACCAUUUAUUAGAUUCACCAACCACCGGCAACGGUUGUUUCGGUGAUGAUUCUGAAUAACUCGCAGACCGCAUGCGCAAGCGGCGGCAAUUCACGCAAUCAACUGCCCUAUCAACUUUGAUGGUAGUUUAGUUGGCUACCAUGGUGAUAACGGGUAACGGAGGAUCAGGGUUUGACUCCGGAGAGGAUGCCUGAGAAACGGCAACCACAUCUAAGGAAGGCAGCAGGCGCGCAAAUUACCCACUCUCAAUGCGAGGAGGUAGUGACAACAACUAACGAGACUGCUUCCUAUGGGAGCAGUCAUCGAAAUGGGUAAAAUUCAAACCCUUUAACGAGGAUCAAUGAGAGGGCAAGUCUGGUGCCAGCAGCCGCGGUAAUUCCAGCUCUCAAAAUGUAUGACAUCAUUGCUGCGGUUAAAAAGCUCGUAGUUGGAUCUGAGCCCGCGGGGCCGGUCCACCUCUGUGUGGUACCGUGCUC
rnacentral:rRNA from 1 species